UACGAAGGGGGCUAGCGUUGUUCGGAAUUACUGGGCGUAAAGCGCGCGUAGGCGGUGAUCUUUGUCUGAGGUGAAAUCCCGAGGCUCAACUUCGGAAUUGCCUUUGAAACGGGAUCGCUUGAGUCCGAGAGAGGAUGGCGGAAUUCCUAGUGUAGAGGUGAAAUUCGUAGAUAUUAGGAAGAACACCGGUGGCGAAGGCGGCCAUCUGGCUCGGUACUGACGCUCAGGCGCGAAAGCGUGGGGAGCAAACAGG
rnacentral:rRNA from 1 species